UUCGGACAUCAAGAGUAGGGCUGACGCCCUCGCCAACCUGCCUACCCGGCAAGGUGGUGCUCCGAAAGGAGGAUGUGGCCAUAGACGGCAACUAAAGGGUCUAAG
rnacentral:ncRNA from 1 species